AAUAGAUACCCAGGUAGUCCACGCCGUAAACGAUGAGUGCUAAGUGUUAGGGGGGUUUCCGCCCCGUUAGUGCUGCAGCUAACGCAUUAAAGCACUCCGCCUGGGGAGUACGGUCGCAAGACUGAAACUCAAAGGAAUUGACGGGGGCCCGCACAAGCGGUGGAGCAUGUGGUUUAAUUCGAAGCAACGCGAAGAACCUUACCAGGUCUUGACAUCCCAUUGACCGCUAUGGAGACAUAGCUUUCCCUUCGGGGACAGUGGUGACAGGUGGUGCAUGGUUGUCGUCAGCUCGUGUCGUGAGAUGUUGGGUUAAGUCCCGCAACGAGCGCAACCCUUGUUCUUAGUUGCCAUCAUUUAGUUGGGCACUCUAAGGAGACUGCCGGUGACAAACCGGAGGAAGGUGGGGAUGACGUCAAAUCAUCAUGCCCCUUAUGACCUGGGCUACACACGUGCUACAAUGGACGGUACAAACGGUUGCCAACCCGCGAGGGGGAGCUAAUCCGAUAAAACCGUUCUCAGUUCGGAUUGUAGGCUGCAACUCGCCUAC
rnacentral:rRNA from 1 species